CACACACACACACACACACACACAUGCACGUACACACACUGGGGAAGAUGGGUGAGAAGCAUAUACUCUUUGCGCACUGUAUGGUUCUCUAAAAUGUCACCAUUAGAUAAAAUUAGGCAGAGUACAAACAGGCGCUAUCUUUUUGGAACUAUAUGUGCAACUACAUAAUCUCUAAUUAUUCCAAUAAAAUGUUCCACUAAAAACAAAGGAUAUGGUGCAGGGGGUGUAGCUAAGGGAUAGAGUAUCUUUCCCUACCACGCACAAGGCCCUAGGCUUCAUCCCCAGCACAACAAAAAUAAACAUGUAAGCAAAACUAAAACAAUCUCCCUUGAAACCAAAAAGUGGGUGGAGCUGGGACAGGCCGUGGCUUCUCCAGCCCUAUCCCAGGUGCCUCUUGCUAGACAACCUUGACUUAUCUCUGGUUCUCUUGGCCUAGGGAAGACAGUCCCCACAGGUAGAUGUGACAUGAAUUUCUUUUGGAGCUUUUAUCCACGAAGCACCUUCUCUGGAGCUUACUUUUCUGCCCAAGAAGCUAUCAGAAGCGUGGUCAGAGCUGAGGGCUAUCAUUAGCCUCCCUGACCUCCUCCCUGUCCGAUCUCUCCACUUUCACCAAGUCCCCUGGGCCGGCCCUGCCUUGGCUCACCGUGACAGAGUGCUAGAAACAGACAGUAUUGGUUUUUUUCCUCUUGCAGGAAGCCCAAGGUGAAAGAGACAGAGUGGUGUCACCUUGAGGAGAAACAGUAUCCAGGCUAGGGAAAACAUUGUAAAUAUUUACUUAUUUCAAAGGAGAGAGAAAGGGGUUGAACAGGGCUCAUCCUGAGUAGCUCAGAGAGAGAGAGGACAAAGCCAGAAUUGGUCCUUCUGGAUGUAAAUCGCACACAAUAAGCUUUAAACUCCCCGUGGGAAACACUCACUGUUAUAUAGAGUCUUUGCAGGUGGGCUUCACUGAGACGUGGGAAUGGUGUGCCCAGGAAGGAGAAGGUAGCUGGAGAGCACGGCUACCUCUGGAGGGGCUGUCACCAUCGAGCCUGGCACUUCUGAGAACCCCACCAGCUCUGCAAAAAGCCCGAGUUUGUGCUUGCCCACUUUUAAAAGCUGUGAGGGCGAAUGUGAGCCGCAGGAUUCCCUGGACCUCAGGACCUCAGAGUUUGGCUAUGAGAGCCCAGUUUUUCCUCUGCCUCUUUAUUUAGAACUGCGUGAUGAAUUUAGUCAUUGUUUGCAUUGGCCAGCUGACUUGAGAAGGGAGAGAUAAGACUUCCAUUUCGGGAGUGUCUGGGAGUGGGGAGACCUUGACCUUGGGUGAGGAGAUGGAAGAUAGAUGCCGUAGGCAAUGAGGAUGUCAGAAGAAAGACCUUAUUCUGGUGACUUCACCGACCAGGCACAGGUACGCGGAAACAGGAAGAAUGCAUACAUUCUACAAUGUGGGAACAGGAAGCAAAAACCUAUCCAUGGAGAAGAUGGAAAGAUCUUUCCACCCAAGACUGUCUCAACCAGGAACUCCAGCUGACUGCCUCAGUUUCCCCGGUCUGUUUCUGCUGGAUGAGUGUAAGGCCUCGACGUGAUGAUGUAUUGCUCUGUUGCUAUUUGCUCUUUUACUUGGAAGCCUCACCUGAGGGGACACUGUUCUUUCCAGGACUCUCUCGAUCAAGAACUCCAGCUGGCUGCCUCAACAGGGCUUCCCAGUCAAUUUCUGCUGGAUGUUUGUAAGCCCACGAUUUGAUCCUUUUACCUACUGUUUGCUUUCUCAGUCGAUUUGACGUUGUUUUGCCAUCUCUCUGCCGUUUCAACCUGUCUGCUCCUUGCUAUUUACUCCUUUUCCUUUUGCUUGCGACAGACUCAAUAAACCCACUCAUUCAAAACCCAAA